rnacentral:rRNA from 1 species
AUUGAACGCUGGCGGCAGGCCUAACACAUGCAAGUCGAACGAGUGGCGGACGGGUGAGUCAUGUCUGGGAAACUGCCUGAUGGAGGGGGAUACCUACUGGAAACGGUAGCUAAUACCGCAUACCAUCAGAUGUGCCCCGAUGGGAUUAGCUUGUUGGUGGGGUAACGGUUCACCAAGGCGACGAUCCCUAGCGGGUCUGCGAGGAUGACCAGCCACACGGGAAAGGUGACACGGUCCAGAUGCCUACGGGAGGCAGCAUUGGGGAAUAGUGCAGAAUGGGGGCAAGCCUGAUGCAGCAAUGCCGCGUGUAUGAAGAAGGCCUGCGGGUUGUAAAGUACGUUCAGCGGGGAGGCGUUACCCGCAGAAGAAGCACCGGCUAACUCCGUGCCAGCAGCCGCGGUAAUAC